AACUUAUCAAACUCUUCUGCAUCUAGCAUUACCUGUUCUGAUACAGACAAUCGUUACAACUUUCAACAAUGGAUCUCUUGGCUCUGGCAUCGAUGAAGAACGCAGCGAAAUGCGAUAAGUAGUGUGAAUUGCAGAAUUCAGUGAAUCAUCGAAUCUUUGAACGCACAUUGCGCCCCUUGGUAUUCCAUGGGGCAUGCCUGUUCGAGCGUCAUC
rnacentral:rRNA from 1 species